rnacentral:lncRNA from 1 species
AAAUAUAACUGUAUCAUUCGUUUAUUACGUCUAUCAACUGAAUUUGAAUUCGGUCUUUCAGUAAUACUGUGAUAGUAAGUAGGCACUAUAUAAUAAUUAUAAUAUAGUCAACCUAUAUUAUACUAUGGACUUAUACAGUAUGUCUUACAAAUUGUUCUUGAAAUUUCAAAUUAAAAAAAAAAUUAUCAUUAAAAUAUUAUGUUUCCGAUUAAUUUGUCAUUCCCACCUCACAACUGUUAUUAUAUUAUUAUUAUAGGUAAUCGUUUUUGGUAACUGAAAUUUCCUAUCGAUUAUUUAAUACUCGUAUUUCCAAUGUAUACCUAGGUGCUAGGUAUACAUUUAUCAACAAACUUAACUUUUUUAUAAUUUUUUUUUAAUAUUGGUAGUAUAUUUGUUACAAAAAUUAAUCUCACGCAGGUUGUGAAAAAUAACUGCUAUUAAAAAUAUCAUUUAUUGUUACUAGUUAAGACUUCCCAUUCCGAUAAUCACAUUUGCAUAGGUACCAUUUUAAAUAUUAUAUUAGGUAUAGGUAAAUAUACCUAAUUUUGAGUACAUAAAACUUUUACAGGGUAGAAAAAAUAAACACUUAUAUAUUUAUAUCAUCUCGGUAACAGCUUUAUCAUAAAAUACAUCGAUAUAACUUAACCUCCAUUCUUAAUCUGAAUACAACACUGUAGUAGAAAAAUAUAAAUAAUAGGUAUGUAAUCGUAACAUAAGAUAAAUAGACCAGUCGGAAUAAAUGGCCGUUUAACAUGCUAUACGUGUCAUUAUAGAAUAAGGAUUGUAGCAAACAUAAUAUUAUAUGUGAGAGGAAAAGCACGUGCGGCCUUUUCACGAUAGAUACACAAUUGUUUUUUGUUUUUCACAAUAUCAGUUUUAAAACAAGUAUUAUCAAAUUUUGUCCGUGAUUAUGUGUUGAAAAUAUAGUUUUCUAAAUGGAAAAUAAAUAGUAAUUCUUAUCCGUUCUCUAAGUAGAUAACGAUUCCUAUUUCAUGUAGAAUACAUUGUAACAUAAAUAUAUCUUUGUUUUUUUGACCACAGGGGCGGAAUAGCCUGCCGGGCAUCCUGGCGAAUGGCCGGUGGCUUGGUUUAUGAGUAGGAAUGACAAUUUGUUUGUGUAUUUAGUGCCUAUUACCAAACACUUGAACCUCAAAUAUAGAUUGUAGCCAUUCAGUCUCCGGGAAUCAUAAUUUAUCCAACUGUACCAAUGUAAGAAUACUCGUGAACAUCGAAGAUAAGCAAACAUCGAUGCAAAAUAUCGAAACUAAACCAUUGAUGUCAAACAUCGAUGUUUUAUCGCCAUGAGUGGCCCGAAGUGUUCAAAAUUAUAUGUUAUUUUUUGUUACUUAAAAAUAAAUUUUUUAUUAAUUAAAUUAUUCUUAUAGAAUAAAGAACUCGGAUAUAGAUUCGUAUUUAUUGCGCGAUAUACCUAUUUAAAUUCUUAGAAUUGCAUAGAAGAAAUUCCGAAAGGUACUGGUAAAUUUCAUUAAUCGAAUCUGAUACCAAUAAUUGACGUUAGUAAUAUUUUUCAUUUCUAAAAACCUUACUUCAUUAAUCAUACUAUAUUAAAAUAAUAAGUAUUUGCUAUUUCGUAAUAUCAUUAUUUUAUUUAGGUAUUUUGGUUUGUUUUAACUUUAUAGUGCUAAAAGCGGCAAAAGACGAAAGAAAAUCCAAGCGACACACGAACUGCGGUACAGUAUAGAGGGGAAGUGUAUUGGGGAAGUCAUUUAAGUGUUUUAUUUGUUUAUAUAAUUUUUGACGUAUUUAUACUCACGAAGUUGUAAAUUAUCUUGUCGUCAAAAUUGAACAAAAUAGUAUUUAUUUAUAAUUUUAUGUUUCAAAUUGUCUAAUGUAGGUUAAAACUUAAAACAGUGGAAAAAUAGUUUUACCAUUGGAAAUGGCAUACCGAAGAGAGUGGGGGCGAUUAAGGAAUGACCCAUCUCACGGUCCAUUUAAAUCACGUUUAAUAUA